rnacentral:lncRNA from 1 species
UAAUUUUAAAUUUUAUCCUUUACUAAGGAUAUCUAUCAAUUACAUGUUAAAAUGAUACUUCAAACUUAAAGUACAAAAAAAAAAACCUAAACAAAGCACUAUUCUUACAGCAGACUAAAGGGAUUUCCCUCCUUUAUUAAGUUCUUAUUUGGGGAUGUAUGAAUUUGUACUCUUCCUAAGAGGCAUGGCGCUAAAAAAAAAAUUACAAAGAUCAUUCUUUUCCUCCUGUUUCCAAAAUUUUGUAAGUCACCCUAGAUGAUCAUGAGCUGAGUUAAAGUUAAAAAAUUAAUAUGUACAAGUACCUCACCACAACAUUUCCCAGCUGAAUUUUUUUCCAAAUGACAUUUCUGAAAAAAUUCAUUUAAAUUAGAAACUGGAUAUACCUUUAAAAAAAUUUCAACAGUAUAAUAAAUGCUCUAUAAAACUGUUAGCUGAAAGCUUAAAGAAAAAAUUCUGUUUUAAGAACAGCACUUAUUACCCAAAAUACUUCACAAAACGUUGCAUAUUAUAAGAUAUUUAGCUUGGACAAUAGAUAACUCUGAAAAACG